CGGCAGCGGAAGAUUGAGAUGAAAACACACUGAUUUUUGGUCGUUCGUUUUAUUUAAAUCAUUUUUAUGAUUAAUAUUUUUGUUGUUAUUAAAUGAUAAAAUAUGAAUAAUAUUUUUAUGGUGACUUAUGUUUUUUUUAUUUUUUAAAAGAUUUUUAAACAAGACGGAUGAAAAGUUGGAUAUAGAAACUCAUGAUUACGUUUAAA
rfam:Oryza sativa Japonica Group DNA, chromosome 4, cultivar: Nipponbare, complete sequence.